rnacentral:rRNA from 1 species
AUUGAACGCUGGCGGCAGGCCUAACACAUGCAAGUCGAGCGGCAGCGGGUCCAUCGGGAUGCCGGCGAGCGGCGGACGGGUGAGUAAUGCCUAGGAAUCUGCCCGGUAGUGGGGGAUAACGUUCGGAAACGGACGCUAAUACCGCAUACGUCCUACGGGAGAAAGUGGGGGAUCUUCGGACCUCACGCUAUCAGAUGAGCCUAGGUCGGAUUAGCUAGUUGGUGGGGUAAUGGCUCACCAAGGCGACGAUCCGUAACUGGUCUGAGAGGAUGAUCAGUCACACUGGAAACGAGACACGGUCCAGACUGCUGCGGGAUGGAGCAGUGGGGAAUAUUGGACAAUGGGCGAAAGCCUGAUCCAGCCAUGCCGCGUGUGUGAAGAAGGUCUUCGGAUUGUAAAGCACUUUAAGUUGGGAGGAAGGGCAGUCAGUUAAUACCUGGUUGUUUUGACGUUACCAACAGAAUAAGCACCGGCUAACUUCGUGCCAGCAGCCGCCGCAG